rnacentral:pre_miRNA from 1 species
UUUUUCGUGUAAGUAUAUCCCAAGGAAUAUUUGGGACAUACUUAUACUAAAA